UGAAAAAAAGUGUUUCGUGCACGUAGAGAUUUGGCCUCUAAAGAGGAAACUCAUUAUUUCCUUUUUCAU
rnacentral:tRNA from 1 species